GCCACGGUGGUCUAGCGGUUAGAACGCUGGCAUUGUAAUCCUGGGGUCUCGGGUUCGAUUCCCGGCGGUGCCC
rfam:Zootermopsis nevadensis contig23100, whole genome shotgun sequence.